AGCGAACGUUAGCGGCGGGCCUAACACAUGCAAGUCGAACGCGAAAGGUCUUCGGACUGAGUAGAGUGGCGCACGGGUGAGUAACACGUAGGUAAUCUACCCUUUGGCGGGGGAUAACGUUCCGAAAGGAGCGCUAAUACCGCAUAAGACCACGGAGUCUCCGGACGCUGUGGGAAAAGGUGGCCUCUUCUUGAAAGCUAUCACCGAAGGAUGAGCCUGCGUCCCAUCAGCUAGUUGGUAAGGUAAUGGCUUACCAAGGCGAAGACGGGUAGCUGGUUUGAGAGAAUGAUCAGCCACACUGGCACUGGAACACGGGCCAGACUCCUACGGGAGCAGCAGUGAGGAAUAUUGGGCAAUGGGCGAAAGCCUGACCCAGCCACGCCGCGUGAGUGAUGAAGGCCCUCGGGUCGUAAAGCUCUGUGGAGAGGGACGAAAACCCUGGUUUCAAAUAGGCUCCAGGCUUGACGGUACCUCUUUAGCAAGCACCGGCUAACUCUGUGCCAGCACG
rnacentral:rRNA from 1 species